rnacentral:rRNA from 1 species
CCUACGGGUGGCAGCAGUGGGGAAUAGUGCACAAUGGGGGAAACCCUGAUGCAGCGACGCCGCGUGAGUGAAGAAGUAUUUCGGGACGUAAAGCUCGAGCAGCAGGGAAGAAAAUGACGGUACAUGACUAAGAAGCCCCGGCUAACUACGGGCCAGCAGCCGCGGUAAUACGUAGGGGGCAAGCGUUAUCCGGAUUUACUGGGUGUAAAGGGAGCGUAGACGGCAGCGCAAGUCUGGAGUGAAAUCCCAUGGAUUAACCAUGGAACUGCUUUGGAAACUGUGCAGCUAGCGUGCAGGAGAGGUAAGCGGCAUUCCUAGUGUAGCGGUGAACUGCGUAGAUCUUAGGAG